UGUGGGGCUGAGUUCAAUAUUCCAGGCCUGGGUAAAUUAGGUGCAGUACUCCAAAGCACCAUUGAAGGUUGAUCCUUUAGUAACAUAGCAUAACCAUUAGCCCAGGAACUUUGGUUCUCAUCCACAGGAAAUUAAGAUAACACAAAUGUAAAAUUUUAGACAAAGAACGAGACAGAAGAUGAGGAACAUCUUUACUCAGCGAGUGGUAAGGAUCUUGAAUUCUUAUAAGGAACGUAGAAACAAUCAUUGCAUUUGAAAGGGAAUUGAAUAAGCACUCAGGACAAAAUAAAGGACAUUGUGGAAACAGCAGAGGAAUGGGACUGAGAAUGUCGUCUACUGGGUGCUGGCGAAGGAACAAUGGGCCAAAUAGUCUUCUUCUGUGCUGUAACUACUCUGUGAUUCCGCUUAAUGAAAGGAUGCACAAGGAGGCUUCUUUCAUGAUGCCAGUUACUUCAGGAAAAUGUUUGGAAAGCUGAACCCGAGCCCCUGGAAAUGGAGCAUUAAUCUAACUCCCGUUUGUGCUUGCCGGGACAAUGGAAGUUCAAACCUCUCUGUGUGUCCCCACCUGCAUCUGUGCAACGAGACAUAAGGGUCCAACUGACCAGACACUCAACUGCAGCUGAAAAGGCAGAACAAGCUGAAAAAUGGACCAUUUUUAUCUUCAAAAAAUAAGAUCUGGAUGUACUUGAGGCUGAGAUUGAUACAAAUUGGAGCUUGCACUUAUGUGGGACAAGGUGACAGGAUGUGUGAUUUGAUGCAAUAUCUAUCAACAGCCCUGCAAAAUAGUGAACGUAUUGCUUUCUGCCUGGAAAAUAAUAAAUCUAGUGCCUUGAUGCUGAUUCCCCAAAUUUAUCAAAACAGAAACUUUCACUAACCACUCAAUAUUGACUUCUACAACUUUAGAUAACUUGCACUUUCUUGCUGUUUGUAUCAGGGCAAGCUACUUUUGCCAUCCCUGCUGGGCAUAUCCCGAUAGGCCAGACUUACUGCAUUGCCACAUUACAGGAAAGAUGUGGAGGUUUUGGAGAGGGAGCAGAAGAGGUUCACCAGGAUGUUGCCUGGAUUAGAGAGUAGUAGCUAUAAGGAGAGGUUGGAGAAACUCAGAUUGUUUUCUCUGGCAUGUCAGGGGCUGAGGGGUGACCUGAUAGAGUGUAUUAAAUUAGGAGAGGCAUAAAUAGGGUAGAUAGAGUCUUUUUCACAGAAUGGAAAUUUCAAAUAUUAGAGGACAUAGCUUUAAGGUGAGAAGGAGACAAUUUAAAGGAGAUUUACCAGGCAAGUUUUAUUUACACAGAGAGUGGUAGCUGCCUGGAAUAUAAUUCUGGGGAAGCAGUGGAAGCAGACAUUUAAGAGACAUUUAGACAGGCACAUGAACAGGCAGCAUAUGGAGGGAUAGAGACCAUGUGCAGGCAGAUGAGAUUAGUUUGGAUUGGCUUCAUGGCUGGCACAGACACCAUGGGCCGAAAUGCCUGUUUCUUUUACUGUUCUAUGUUCUAUGACUUUGCAAUUUUAACACCACAUCACACAAAGGAUC